GACGAACGCUGGCGGCGUGCCUAAUACAUGCAAGUAGGACGCAGUUGCGAACGGGUGAGUAACGCGUAGGUAACUCCCUCUUAGAGGGGGAUAACUAAUGGAAACGAUAGCAAAUAACGAAUACUAGUAGAUGGACCUGAGUGGUAUUAGCUAGUAGGUCGGGUAUUGGCCUACCUAGGCAAACAUACAUAGCCGACCGGAGAUGGGGAGCGGUCAAAACGGGACUGAGAACCGGGCCAUGCUCCUACGGGAGGUCGCAGUAGGGAAUAUUCGGUCAUGGGGGAAACCCUGACCGAGCAUGGCCGCGUGAGUGAAGAAGGUUUUCGGAGCGUAAAGCUCUGUUGUUAAGGAAGCGGUACUUACCCAGAAAGGGACGGCUAACUACGUGCCAGCAGCCGCGGUAAUAC
rnacentral:rRNA from 1 species